UUUUAUUUGAGAGUUUGAUCCUGGCUCAGGAUGAACGCUGGCGGCGUGCCUAACACAUGCAAGUUGAGCGAUUUACUUCGGUAAAGAGCGGCGGACGGGUGAGUAACGCGUGGGUAACCUACCCUGUACACACGGAUAACAUACCGAAAGGUAUGCUAAUACGGGAUAAUAUAUUUGAGAGGCAUCUCUUAAAUAUCAAAGGUGAGCCAGUACAGGAUGGACCCGCGUCUGAUUAGCUAGUUGGUAAGGUAACGGCUUACCAAGGCGACGAUCAGUAGCCGACC
rnacentral:rRNA from 1 species